GUCGUAGCUCAGUGGUAGAUCAUCUGUCUUGCAAGCAGAAAGUCCCUGGUUUAAUCCCCAUUGGCAUCUCCA